rnacentral:rRNA from 1 species
ACCGACGCAUUUCCUUCCGCUCUGGGACGCCGCAGCCGGUUGGCUUAGAAGUGUCAGAACUGUCGGCACGGACUUUAACGGCACCGACCCCUGCGGGGGUGGACGGCUGGCGGCGAGUAAGUCGGUAACCCACCUCCCGUCUUGAAACACGGACCAAGGAGUCUGACUAGUGCGCAAGUCAUGGGGUCUUGAACAAGCCCAAAGGCGAAGUUAAAGUGAAGUCGUGAUCCCGCGGGCGCAGCGACGGCCCGCCCGGUGCUGAGCGCACAUGUUGGUACCCGAAAGAUGGUGAACUAUGCCUGGCCAGGGCGAAGUCAGAGGAAACUCUGAUGGAGGCCCGUAGCGCUUCUGACGUGCAAAUCGAUUGCGAGAGCCAGGUAUAGGGGCGAAAGACCAAUCGAACCAUCUAGUAGCUGGUUCCCUCCGAAGUUUCCCUCAGGAUAGCUGGCGCUCGUCCGUCUGCGAUGUGUAAAGCGAA